UACGUAGGGUGCGAGCGUUAAUCGGAAUUACUGGGCGUAAAGCGUGCGCAGGCGGUUCGUUGUGUCGGCGGUGAAAGCCCCGGGCUUAACCUGGGAAUGGCCGUUGAAACUGGCGAACUGGAGUGUGGCAGAGGGGGGUGGAAUUCCACGUGUAGCAGUGAAAUGCGUAGAGAUGUGGAGGAACACCGAUGGCGAAGGCAGCCUCCUGGGCCAGCACUGACGCUCAUGCACGAAAGCGUGGGGAGCAAACAGG
rnacentral:rRNA from 1 species